GUACGAAGGGGGCUAGCGUUGCUCGGAAUCACUGGGCGUAAAGGGUGCGUAGGCGGGUCUUUAAGUCAGGGGUGAAAUCCUGGAGCUCAACUCCAGAACUGCCUUUGAUACUGAGGAUCUUGAGUUCGGGAGAGGUGAGUGGAACUCCGAGUGUAGAGGUGAAAUUCGUAGAUAUUCGGAAGAACACCAGUGGCGAAGGCGGCUCACUGGACCGGUAUUGACGCUGAGGUGCGAAAGCAUGGGGAGCAAACAGG
rnacentral:rRNA from 1 species